rnacentral:rRNA from 1 species
GACGAACCGUGCAAACGUUGUUCGGAAUCACUGGGCUUAAAGGGCGCGUAGGCGGCUUGCCAAGUCAGGGGUGAAAUCUUUCGGCUUAACCGGAAAAGUGCCUCUGAUACUGGCGAGCUAGAGGGAGGUAGGGGCAUGUGGAACUUCCGGUGGAGCGGUGAAAUGCGUUGAUAUCGGAAGGAACGCCGGUGGCGAAAGCGACGUGCUGGAUCUCUUCUGACGCUGAGGCGCGAAAGCUAGGGAGCGAACGGG